GAGGAGGAGCCCGGAGAUGGGCACUGAGACAAGGGCCCAGGCCUUAUGGGGCGCAGCAGGCGAGAAAUCUCUGCAAUAGGCGAAAGCUUGACAGGGUUACUCUGAGUGAUUCCCGCUAAGGGGAUCUUUUGGCACCUUUAAAAAUGGUGCAGAAUAAGGGGUGGGCAAGUCUGGUGUCAGCCGCCGCGGUAAUACCAGCACCCCGAGUGGUCGGGACGAUUAUUGGGCCUAAAGCAUCCGUAGCCGGUACUGCAAGUCUUCCGUUAAAUCCACCUGCUUAACAGUUGGGCUGCGGGGGAUACUACAGCGCUAGGAGGCGGGAGAGGCAAGCGGUACUCAAUGGGUAGGGGUAAAAUCCGCUGAUCCAUUGAAGACCACCAGUGGCGAAGGCGGCUUGCCAGAACGCGCUCGACGGUGAGGGAUGAAAGCUGGGGGAGCAAACCGGAUUAGAUACCCGGGUAGUCCCAGCUGUAAACGAUGCAGACUCGGUGAUGGGCUGGCCUUGUGCCAGCCCAGUGCCGCAGGGAAGCCGUUAAGUCUGCCGCCUGGGGAGUACGGUCGCAAGACUGAAACUUAA
rnacentral:rRNA from 1 species